UUAGGAAGAUAACCUGGGCAGCUUCCCAUGUCAGCAAAGGCAGGCCUGUGUCGUUUUUUGCCCCUUCCUGUGGCUGUUUGACGUGUCAGUGUUGCCAUGAUGAGAAUCUUCUGUCAGUCCCGCUUCCGUACCUCACGCCCCUGCAAAGUUUCAAGUUCUCUUUCUCCAGAAGGUUCCCCCAAACUGGACCUCACCUUGACCCCCUCCAGUCACGCGGCCGAAGCAUCCCUCCCCGAGACCCUCACGGACAUGAACCUGAUCAAGCCUAUGUGCUGGUAAACGUUCUGGUCUCACUUGUGACAUUGCCGUCUCUGUAACCUCCACGCGGACUUGCUGCUUCGGCUGCUGUGGCGAUGGGGACACAAGACUGAUGACGGUGGGGUUUAUUGAUUUCCAGUGGCAAAUGGGUGGAAGAGGACGAGAACCCUGACCUCCGCCCAC